GAUGAAGAACGUAGCGAAAUGCGAUAAGUAGUGUGAAUUGCAGAAUUCAGUGAAUCAUCGAAUCUUUGAACGCACAUUGCGCCCUUUGGUAUUCCUUAGGGCAUGCCUGUUCGAGCGUCAUUUAAACCUUCAAGCUCAGCUUGGUGUUGGGUGACUGUCCGCCGCCUCCGGGCGCGUGGACUCGCCUCAAAAUUAUUGGCGGCCGGUACAUUGGCUUCGAGCGCAGCAGAAACGCGAACUCGGGCCCGUCGUAUUGGCUCCCAGAAGCUAUCUUCACAAUUUUGACCUCGGAUCAGGUAGGGAUACCCGCUGAACUUAAGCAUAUCAAUAAGCGAGGA
rnacentral:misc_RNA from 1 species